UUAUUAAGCUUAAUUUGAGAAACCAGUUAAGCUAAUAAAAUUGAGGAAAGAUGGCUUCACGUUUAUUUUAAGAAAAUUCACUCAAUUAUGUGGAUUUGAUUGAGAUGUUUGCAUUUGAAUCUCAACAACGGCAGUGAUCAGACGACAUUUUGAAGGAGCAGAUCAACAGCGAGCAUGUUAAGAGUUUAAUGAAGAAAACGUUUGCAGAGUUUUCCCACUAAAGAGGAGCAGUUUAUUGAGGCAGAUUUUGAUAAAGAGAAUGGGUGCCAUACAUCAGACCUCACAUUAAAUCAGGGAUGAAUCGAGAGAUGUCGUCCUCUGUUGCUGGUCUAUCUGUAUGAAUAAGAGGAAGAGCUCAUCCAGGAGUGCAAUUGUGGGAAUGCACAGAGAAUUGCUGUCUGUCAGAGGGAUGACCAACCAUGAGGACUUCUGCAUUGUCUUGGAGGAUAAGUGAGUCAUGGCUAGCCUGGAAAAUCUAGAAUCGCUGAACUGGAUUUAUAUAAAUAUUCCACAAAUUAAAAUCACUUACAAAGAAAUGAAUAUUAAGUUUGCAAUAC